rnacentral:lncRNA from 1 species
CAUCCCGGGCAUCCACUGGGUUUUCCAGGGAGCCAAUCAACCGUCCUUCACCCAGAGUUGCAUUGCGUCCAGGGUCUUGAAAAUCUUGUCUUAGUCCGGUCUUGAUUAUUAUAUCAACCUCGCAUCACUCGUGGUAUACACUCAACCGAUAACCCGUCUAGUCAAGCAUAGCAUUAAGAAAUUUCCGUCCCGGGGCCAAGUAUCGGGGAUGUUGUGUUCCU